AUACUUACCUGGCAGGGGAGAGAGAUGCCGUGAUCACAAAGGUAAUUUCCCCAGGAUGAGCCUUCUCCGUUGACUCCAGAUGUGCUGAUUUCUGGGAUUUACCCAAAUGUAGGAAACUCAUCUGCAUAUUUUGUGGUAGUGGGGAACUGCUUUCACUCUCUUUCCUU